UCUCAAUCGUCCCCAAAAUUUUAAAGAGAGGGAAAACAAAUAAAUUUCUUUUCUCCGCCAAGUUUAUCUGCCCUCCUUCUUCAUCUACUUCUCCACUCUCCUCCUUCGUGCACGCUACACCGCUGCUCAAUCCUAGUAUCCUCUUUGAUGAGUCGCUUUAUUUUGUCUCCCUUCGUUGCAGCAAUGGAUUCCAGAUCUCCAACGAGUUACAGUGAUUUACAGGUAAUCAAGCCCUUUUCAAAUCAUUUAGAAUAAAGAUGAUGAAUGAUCAUUGACCACAAGAACCGAUACAACAGGCACAAGCACAAACAAGGGGGGAAAAGAACAACAAAAGUCUACAGAGCCAUAAACAACUGGAAUAUCCGUGAUGAUAAACGCAAAGCCAAUGUGCUUAUGACUCGCAACCAUAAGUGGAGAUCAUUUAAGAAUUGGCUUAAAAGGGAUUUCUUGGCCAAUGAGGAUUAACUAGAUUCACUUGAAACCUACUCAUAUCUGGAGAAGACUGCAUUGCAAAAGUUUAAGGAGAGAAUUUAGUAAUAAUUACAGGAAUGAUGUUGUCUAAAAGUGUACAAGUGAGGAUUAAAGGUAGCUGCUUCACAUGAUUAUGGGACAGUUCCACUGCCAUGUAAUCAUAGUUUCUUUUUUGAAAAUUUUUAUGUAGUAAGAAAUGACAAAUCAAGAAGUUUUUUUGUGACACUCAGAUAUGUUUAUAUCUAUGAAAAUAAUGCUUGCUUAUUUA